UACGAAGGGUGCAAGCGUUACUCGGAAUUACUGGGCGUAAAGCGUGCGUAGGUGGUUUGUUAAGUCUGAUGUGAAAGCCCUGGGCUCAACCUGGGAAUUGCAUUGGAUACUGGCAGGCUAGAGUGCGGUAGAGGAUGGCGGAAUUCCCGGUGUAGCAGUGAAAUGCGUAGAGAUCGGGAGGAACAUCUGUGGCGAAGGCGGCCAUCUGGACCAGCACUGACACUGAGGCACGAAGGCGUGGGGAGCAAACAGG
rnacentral:rRNA from 1 species